rnacentral:rRNA from 1 species
UCAAGCGACUAAGUGUAUGUGGUGGAUGCCUUGGCGAUUACAGGCGAUGAAGGACGUCGCAGCCUGCGAAAAGCCGUGGGGAGCUGGCAAGCGAGCACUGAUCCACGGAUGUCCGAAUGAGGGAACUCACCCGCAAGGGUAUCUUGAAGUGAAUACAUAGCUUCAAGAGGCGAACGCAGCGAACUGAAACAUCUAAGUAGCUGCAGGAAAAGAAAUCAACCGAGAUUCUGAAAGUAGCGGCGAGCGAAAUUGGAAGAGCCUGCAAGUGAUAUUGAAUUCGAUACUGGAACGGUCUGGAAAGUCCGGCUACAGAGGGUGACAGCCCCGUACGGGAAAUUGGGUUCAAAGUACUGAGCUUGCGAGAAGUAGAGCGGGACACGUGAAAUCCUGCUCGAAGAUGGGGGGACCAUCCUCCAAGGCUAAAUACUCGUAAUCGACCGAUAGCGAACCAGUACUGUGAAGGAAAGGCGAAAAGAACCCCGGGAGGGGAGUGAAAUAGAUCCUGAAACCGCAUACAUACAAACAGUAGGAGCCCGCAAGGGUGACUGCGUACCUUUUGCAUAAUGGGUCAGCGACUUACGUUCAAUGGCAAGCUUAACCGAGUAGGGGAGGCGCAGCGAAAGCGAGUCCGAACAGGGCGAUAUGAGUCGUUGGGCGUAGACCCGAAACCAGAUGAUCUAUCCAUGGCCAGGCUGAAGGUGUGGUAACACACACUGGAGGGCCGAACCGACUAGUGUUGCAAAAUUAGCGGAUGAGCUGUGGAUAGGGGUGAAAGGCUAAACAAAUCUGGAGAUAGCUGGUUCUCCCCGAAAACUAUUGAGGUAGUGCCUCGUGUAUGGCUCCAGGGGGUAGAGCACUGUUAUGGCUAGGGGGACAUGGCGUCUUACCAAACCAUGGCAAACUCCGAAUACUUGGAAGUCUGAGCACGGGAGACAGAGCACCGGGUGCUAACGUCCGGACUCAAAAGGGAAACAACCCAGACCGCCGGCUAAGGUCCCUAAUAUUGACUAAGUGGAAAACGAAGUGGGAAGGCUAAGACAGUCAGGAAGUUGGCUUAGAAGCAGCCAUCCUUCAAAGAAAGCGUAAUAGCUCACUGAUCGAGUCUUCCUGCGCGGAAGAUGUAACGGGGCUAAGUCAAUAACCGAAGCCGCGGAUUCGCAGCAAUGCGAGUGGUAGGGGAGCGUUCUGUAAGCCUGCGAAGGCGGAUCCGCGAGGACCGCUGGAGGUAUCAGAAGUGCGAAUGCUGACAUGAGUAACGUUAAAGCGGGUGAAAAGCCCGCUCGCCGCAAGCCCAAGGUUUCCUGCUCUACGUUCAUCGGAGCAGGGUGAGUCGGCCCCUAAGGUCAGGCUGAGAAGCGUAGCUGAUGGGAAGCUGGUUAAUAUUCCAGCACCGAUUUCAAGUGCGAAGGGGGGACGGAGUCCUGAAGGUCAUCCGGGUGUUGGAUAUCCCGGUUUACGAGCGUAGGAGGUUGACAGGCAAAUCCGUCAACGGAUCUCCAAGGCGAAGGAUCGAGGUUGAGAGAUCAACUGAAGUGACUGAAUGGGCUUCCAGGAAAAGCCUCUAAGCAUCAGCUUGGAAUUGACCGUACCGCAAACCGACACUGGUGGGCGAGCUGAAUAUGCUCAGGCGCUUGAGAGAACUCAGGAGAAGGAACUCGGCAAAUUGACACCGUAACUUCGGGAUAAGGUGUGCCUUUGUAGUGUGAAGAGAGAAACACUCCGAGCAUGAAGAGGCCUCAGAGAAUCGGUGGCUGCAACUGUUUACUAAAAACACAGCACUCUGCAAAGAUGAAAGUCGACGUAUAGGGUGUGAUGCCUGCCCGGUGCUGGAAGAUUAAUUGAUGGGGUGCAAGCUCCUGAUCGAAGUCCCAGUAAACGGCGGCCGUAACUAUAACGGUCCUAAGGUAGCGAAAUUCCUUGUC